AGUGAACGCUGGCGGUAGGCCUAACACAUGCAAGUCGAACGGCAGCACAGUAAGAGCUUGCUCUUACGGGUGGCGAGUGGCGGACGGGUGAGGAAUACAUCGGAAUCUACUUUUUCGUGGGGGAUAACGUAGGGAAACUUACGCUAAUACCGCAUACGACCUACGGGUGAAAGCAGGGGAUCUUCGGGCCUUGCGCGAUUGAAUGAGCCGAUGUCGGAUUAGCUAGUUGGCGGGGUAAAGGCCCACCAAGGCGACGAUCCGUAGCUGGUCUGAGAGGAUGAUCAGCCACACUGGAACUGAGACACGGUCCAGACUCCUACGGGAGGCAGCAGUGGGGAAUAUUGGACAAUGGGCGCAAGCCUGAUCCAGCCAUACUGCGUGGGUGAAGAAGGCCUUCGGGUUGUAAAGCCCUUUUGUUGGGAAAGAAAAGCAGCAGGUUAAUACCCCGCUGUUCUGACGGUACCCAAAGAAUAAGCACCGGCUAACUUCGUG
rnacentral:rRNA from 1 species